rnacentral:sRNA from 1 species
GUAAUCCCAGCAUUUUGGGAGGCCGAGGCAGGCAGAUCACGAGGCUACUGGAUCAAGGUCAGUUCCUAUGCCACUGUCAAAUAUAUCAGUGCCAAAAUCAUCUGUUUCACGUGUGCCCUGCAAUGUAGAAGGAAUAAGUCCUGAAUUAGAAAAGGUAUUCAUUAAAGAAAAUAAUGGGAAGGAAGAAGUAUCCAAGCCGUUGGACAUACCAGAUGGUCGAAGAGCUCCACUCCCUGCUCAUUACCGGAGCAGUAGUACUCGCAGCAUUGACACUCAGACUCCUUCUGUCCAGGAGCGCAGCAGUAGCUGCAGCAGUCAUUCACCCUGUGUCUCCCCUUUUUGUCCCCCGGAAUCCCAGGAUGGUAGCCCUUGCUCAACAGAAGACUUGCUCUAUGAUCGUGAUAAAGCAGAUUGUUUCAUGCCUCUUAAUUGGGAGACCACAAGUAUAGGGCAAAGAUGAGGAGACAUAGCAAGGUCAGAGGAACUGGAGGAAAGGGGCUGAAGAAGAGUCAACAGCAUUUAGUGGCCAAUUAGAUGU